rnacentral:rRNA from 1 species
UUCCGACCUGCACGAAUGGCGUAAUGAUGGCCACGCUGUCUCCACCCGAGACUCAGUGAAAUUGAAAUCGCUGUUAAGAUGCAGUGUACCCGCGGCUAGACGGAAAGACCCCGUGCACCUUUACUACAGCUUUACACUGGAUUUUGAACCUAUUUGUGUAGGAUAGGUGGGAGGCUUUGAAGCCGGAUCGCCAGAUUCGGUGGAGCCAACCUUGAAAUACCACCCUGGUAUGUUUGAAGUUCUAACCCAGGCGCUACAACGCCGGGGACAGUGUAUGGUGGGUAGUUUGACUGGGGCGGUCUCCUCCCAAAGAGUAACGGAGGAGCACGAAGGUACCCUCAGUACGGUCGGACAUCGUACGGUUAGUGCAAAGGCAUAAGGGUGCUUGACUGCGAGAGUGACGGCUCGAGCAGGUACGAAAGUAGGUCUUAGUGAUCCGGUGGUUCUGUAUGGAAGGGCCAUCGCUCAACGGAUAAAAGGUACGCCGGGGAUAACAGGCUGAUACCGCCCAAGAGUUCAUAUCGACGGCGGUGUUUGGCACCUCG